UACGAAGGGGGCUAGCGUUGCUCGGAAUUACUGGGCGUAAAGCGCACGUAGGCGGAUCUUUAAGUCAGGGGUGAAAUCCUGGAGCUCAACUCCAGAACUGCCUUUGAUACUGAGGACCUUGAGUUCGGGAGAGGUGAGUGGAACUGCGAGUGUAGAGGUGAAAUUCGUAGAUAUUCUGAAGAACACCAGUGGCGAAGGCGACUCACUGGACACGUAUUGACGCUGAGGUGCGAAAGCGUGGGGAGCAAACAGG
rnacentral:rRNA from 1 species